AAAAGUCAUUUUUAUAAAACCUCUGCACCAUUAUUCUUUAGUAGAUGCAGAAUGCCUCUUGCUAGUUUCUGUGUUUAUGAGAUCCACUCUGAAAGAGGGUAAGAAUUGUGCCUGUACUUUCCCAGCUUAAAAGCACAUGAUAUGCUCAAAGCUCUGAGACCUAGUAAAGCCUGAGUACUGGGUGCCUGUGUGGUGCUCUUUCUGCAGACCUGGCCUCCUCAACUUCUCUGCUUGCUGCAAGGUUGCCAUGGAUGAUGAAACAUUUGAGCUAUAAAAGCUUUUAAAGUGUAUGAAGAAAUCAUUAUGUAUAUUAUGAAACUGUUCAGCAUUAUGGAUCAGAGCCAGCUGUACGUUCCCAGCCGUAAUGGACGCACCUUUUGCCCAUAAUUGUGAGUCUGCGAGCACAGACACUGGAGAGAAUGACCAGGGGGAUUUGGGGGCUUUACUGGCUCUGAGUCUGUACUAGCCCUGCCAGAUACAAGCUGGCACAUAAAAAGUGUUAUUCUUUUCCAGUAUUCAUUUAUUUCUACCUUUGUGAACUGCUUCAUACAAAGAACUGCCUUUUUAACCCAUCUCUCAACCCCUCUUCAAGUUCCAGAACUAACGUUCCAAUUAACUAAGAAGUAUCAUGUUCUCUUCAGAGAAAGCUACCUUUACCCAAGAAAGCCUCUCAUUUUACCAGGAAAUAUGCAAUGCGCACUGAGCUGAUAAGGUUGUACAUUCUGUUUCAAAUUGUGAAAGGAUACAAAAAGACCUUAUUUUUUUCAGAUUUAGAGGAAGAAAUGGAUGAGAUUUCAUAUUGCUUAUUUAAAAGUCUGGAAUUGACCUAUAGUAUGGUGUUAUUUGUGGGAUAAUGCCCCUGUGGAUUGAGUGCCAAAUAACACUGCAGUGCCAAGACCUGGAAUAAAAUAUUUUCUACGUGAAAAAAGCAAGUGACAGAGGUCCGGCCUGCUGUUAUGACUGGAGUGAGUGACAAGCUCUUCCUUCCAAAAAGAGAAGGAGCCUCUCUUUCUCCUCACGUCCUGGGAUGGCAGUACUUUCUCACUCAUUGCCUGAGGAGAUGUGAACUAUUUGCAGAGUCUAAUGUCUGAAACAAUGAGAGAAAUUUAAAGACAAAAGACCAGAAAUCUCCAUCUUUGCAACUAGAAGAGUUUCCUAUGAACUAAAUAUAAAAGGUUACUUUUUUUAGUUAAAAAAAGAGAAUUAAAAGUAGAAAAAAAAACAUCACCACCAACAACUACUAACAACAAUACCACACACAGAAAAAAAAAAAA